CCUACGGAGGGCUGCAGUGGGGAAUCUUGGACAAUGGGGGCAACCCUGAUCCAGCCAUGCCGCGUGUGUGAAGAAGGCCUUCGGGUUGUAAAGCACUUUCAGCAGGGAGGAAGGCUUACCCCUAAUACGGGUGAGUACUUGACGUUACCUGCAGAAGAAGCACCGGCUAAUUUCGUGCCAGCAGCCGCGGUAAUACGAAAGGUGCAAGCGUUAAUCGGAAUUACUGGGCGUAAAGCGCGCGUAGGCGGUGUGUUAAGUCGGAUGUGAAAGCCCAGGGCUCAACCUUGGAAUUGCAUCCGAUACUGGCACGCUAGAGUGCAGUAGAGGGAGGUGGAAUUUCCGGUGUAGCGGUGAAAUGCGUAGAGAUCGGAAGGAACACCAGUGGCGAAGGCGGCCUCCUGGACUGACACUGACGCUGAGGUGCGAAAGCGUGGGGAGCAAACAGGAUUAGAUACCCCAGUAGUC
rnacentral:rRNA from 1 species